rnacentral:rRNA from 1 species
AAAGUGCGAUAACUAGUGUGAAUUGCAUAUUCGUGAAUCAUCGAGUCUUUGAACGCAGCUUGCACUCUAUGGAUCUUCUAUAGAGUACGCUUGCUUCAGUAUCAUAACCAACCCACACAUAAAAUUUAUUUUAUGUGGUGAUGGACAAGCUCGGUUAAA